rnacentral:misc_RNA from 1 species
UCUCUUGUUGCGUUGUUCGAUGAGAUUCGACUAAUGACAUGGUGAUGUCAAGUUGCUUGUAGAUCUUAGCUUCAAGCUUUGAUCUUAGUUUUAAGUUUAACCGGUCUUUUCACGAGGCCCGCAUGAUCAGUCCGAUUGUAUGGCAUGUUCUUGUUUGAUUGUUGCCUUGCGGUUGGAUUGUUAGUGUAACCGAUGACAUGAUGUGGCUUGUUAGUCUUAAAACUUGGGAUGGCGAUUUGAUAUUGUUGUGUCGGUCGAUUUGUUGUCGAACAGUGGGGCAAAGGUUUGUUAAUUCAUUGCGUUGUUGAUGAAAUUCGUCCCACAAUGUGGUGGUGUCGAGUUGCUUGUGGAUCCUAGUUUUAAGCUUCUCAAGCUUAAAACGCACGGAACUUCGGUUGGCGACUAGGCAUCGCCUCGUUGGUCGAUGAAGGUCGUCCAAUGAUGCGUUGGUUAUGAUAUUUUGUUCUCGUAUCGUUCGGUGCAUUCUGGGGUCA